AUAAUUUCACAUGUUUGUUGUUGGUUGUUUUUUUGCGAUUUAAUAUUUGAUUCUUCUUUCCCCAUUUCCAUAAUCGGUUUGCUGUUGUUUCUCUCUUAAAGAUUUUGCUUCGUACUCGCAUCUUCUUCUUGUCGUAAUGUUUCUCCCUCCUCAAUACAUCUCAAUUCCUCUUUCUCUCUCUAGGGUUUUGUUGCUUCACGAUUGAUGUUGAAGAGGACGAAAGGGAAGGGCCUGAUGAAGAGACGAUUUAGCCUAAAGACCGUUACUAAUGACAAAUCGAUGACAUGGAACCUUAAAUUAAGUAAUCGUACAUGAAAAAAUCAUCAUGACCACCUUCAGAAUAUAGUUCUUUUAGUGCCUGGGUUUGCUGGAUCUAUUCUCAAUGCUAAUGAUGUUGAAACAGGGAAAGAAGAGAUGGUUUGGGGUUCAAAUUUGGGAAUUUGAUUGUCAAUUUUUGUGGGAAACUUUGCUGUCAGUUCGUACUGAUUGAACAAAGUAUGUUCUUAUCUAACACUAAAUUUAUUAAUCAGAUUUCUAAUAUAUCUACAUGCCCUUCCAGAUCAUCUUUCUUGAUGUUUUUUUAUAAUCGUCAUACCCAGGGUAUUUGUAGUCUUGUCAUGGUUCUACUUAAUUAGGAUUUAGAAUAUUCGUAUGAGACGCAUUUGUGAAUCAAGGUAAUGGUUUCAAUUUCGGUAUGUCCUUUAAAAGCGGAGUUGUUCUUGAUCAAAAAAUAAGAUAUCUCAAUUACCCUUUAACAACAGUGUCAUCCGAAAAUAUACAGCAAUAGUAGAAUAUCAUUCCAUCUUAAUGUUUAAUGACUAUUGAGUAUUGAUUGCAUGUCUAUCAUCCGAAUAUAAACGUCAAUGAUGUGCUAGAAAUUGAAAAUUUAUAAUGACUAACAAUUCUUGGAGGCUCUUGAAACCUUUUUAAUUGUGUGGUUUGAAAGUUUCCAUUGUGAUUACUUUGUUAUCUCAAGUUUAGUGUGCUAGAAUAUGGAGAUUUGGCAGGAGACAUGUUUCUGAACCUUUGGAUACCACUCGAUAAAUUUGUCGAGGAUGAAAAUGUAGUUGCAGGUAAGGAUACAUUAUCUGUCAGAUUAGUAAUAUGGUUUUUGUUGGUUACAUAGAUUGUAAUUAAUUCAUAUGAGAUAUAAUAAGGUUAGGAUGAGGACUUAUUUGUGUUGAGAAUUUAGUAGCAUUUUCCCCAGAUGUUGGUGGACUAGCUACAAGCUCGAGAGUUUCAUGAUCUUUUAAUAUUUUUCUUAGGUUAAAACUAACAGUUUAUUUGUUAUUUUCAUACAAAAAAUGAAAGGGAUUAUUUCAUUAAAUCCUUUUGCGGAAUUGAGAAACCUAGAUUGCAAGUCAACCUCAGACCCUGUGGACUCAUCAAACACUUUCACCGCUCCUUUUGUGUUUAUUUAGCCAACUGUUGGUUGUCUUCAUUUGACAGAAGUGUGUCGGGUGUAAUUUUGAUACCUAUAAAAAGUUUACAUUUUGAUUCUUUUUUUUUUUACCUUAAACUUUACUGCUCAAAGAACAUACAAACCCAUCUCAUUUAGAGCUUCAAAAAUACUGCAAAUCGAGGAAGAAGAUGCACAUGGGAGAAACUUUCAGCCAUUAAAGGCAACUGUGGAAACUGACUUGUUCUUGAUGAAUUUGUUGUAAUUUUAAACCGCAUGGAUACUUAGAACUAUGAGGCUUGUUCUGCUGGUUUUGAUGUUUUUCUUUUGACUUUGGCCCAAUAUCCACCCCUUGACAGUGGUUUUUCAUAGCAGAUACCAAGUUGGUAUAUAGAAAUUUAGAUAUUUGUUAUUUGUAUUUA